CACUCCAAAAGAGUAUACAUCAGAUUUUUCUGUUAGUUUUUGUUGUAGAUAAUAUUCAGGAUCUAGGUAACCAAAAGUACCCUUCACCAUGGUUGAAACAUGUAUUUUAGUCAUAGACUGUGACAUUGCACUCGGGCCAGCUUUUGAUAACCCAAAAUCUGAGACCUUUGCAACCCAUUUAUCGUCUAACAAUAUGUUGGUGCUCUUAAUGUCUCGGUGGAUGAUAGUCCUCUUUGCACCUGUGUGCAGGUAAUGGAGUCCUCGUGCUGCUCCAAUGCAAAUCUUGAGCCUCUGCUUCCAUGGAAGUGGAGGCUUCUGGGUCUUGUAGAGGUGAUCACGUAGCGUACCAUGAGCCAUGUAAUCAUAAACAAGAAUCAUUUCUUUUUUCUCCAUUGAGUACCCGAUCAGAGAUACUAGGUGGUGGUGCUUUAGCCCUGAAAGCAUGGUGAUUUCAGUUUGAAACUCUUUCAAACCUUGGUGUGAACUUGGAUUGGCACGCUUUAUAGCAACAUUGGUGCUGCCAUAGUCAGUGGAUCCUCUAUAGACCUUCCCAAAUCCACCGGUGCCAAUGAGCAGAGUGUCUGAAAAAUUGUUGGUUGCUGACUUUAUCUCAGCAAUUGAGAAGAUUCGAUAAUUGCCUGAUGAUUGCCCUUGCUUAAAUUUUUCUCUGUCCUUAAAUGUUAAAAUUAUGGAACUGAAUAAGACGAGGAGAAUUAUUACAACAAAACUUGUCCCAAGAACAUGGGAUACUAAAUCGACAGCAUUAUGAUCUUUAUUGAAGUCUGAAAUAUGCAGAUGCGGAUUUCUUACUCCGAAUGGAUGGGGUCCUGCGAGAUUGUUAGAAUGGUCAGACAACUUGAAAAUUUCCAACCCAUUUAAAAUUGGAACUUCAUGCAUUGCAGAUGAUCCAUUUUUACUUCCUAUGGUGAUUGAUAGAUGCUUUAUGCCUUCUCCUGGUUCUGAAAAGUUGAUGAAAUAGUCUCUAUAAAUGGGAAUUCCAACACCGUGGCUCCAGUGGAAAAUAUCAGCAUUAUCUUCGGCAGUUUGAUUGUUGAUAUAAACAUGAAACACUCUUUUACCGUCUUUGUGAAUCCUGCUUGAAAUCUCACAGAAGUGGAGCCUGACAAGGUAAUAGAAGCCGAAAUCAACAGGAAAUGACCAUCUAGCACUAUGGUUGCCUGCAAACGUAUCCCCAACUGUCCUCGCAGAUGCGUAAACUUGGUCUGGAGCAGCAUAUGCAGGUGUCAAUGAGCUUGACUGAAUUUGAACUUCUGAUUCAAUAUUACUCGUCUCAGCUUCAUCAUCUAUAAUAUAAUCG
rnacentral:misc_RNA from 1 species